rnacentral:lncRNA from 1 species
CCCCCCUUAAGAACAUUCGUCCCCGAAUGUUCACCAAACAAACACAUGGCAUAGCAUAAAACAUAAACAUUCAUACAAAGCACAUAAAACUCACCUUAGAAGAGAUGAGGAUAUUGCCGGAGCAUAGACUCCCGUGUCUCCCAGGUACACUCUUCGAUGUUGUGGUGAUUCCAAAGGACUUUCACCAUCGGGAUUUCCUUGUUCCUUAGCUUUCUGAUCUG